UACGAAGGGGCUAGCGUUGCUCGGAAUCACUGGGCGUAAAGGGUGCGUAGGCGGGUCUUUAAGUCAGGGGUGAAAUCCUGGAGCUCAACUCCAGAACUGCCUUGAUACUGAAGAUCUUGAGUUCGGGAGAGGUGAGUGGAACUGCGAGUGGUAGAGGUGAAAUUCGUAGAUAUUCGCAAGAACACCAGUGGCGAAGGCGGAGCUCACUGGCCCGAG
rnacentral:rRNA from 1 species